rnacentral:rRNA from 1 species
AGCAGCCGCGGUAAUUCCAGCUCCAAUAGCGUAUAUUAAAGUUGUUGCAGUUAAAAAGCUCGUAGUUGAAUUUCGGGAUCAGUUGAUCGGUCGUGCCUCGGUACGUACUGGUCAAAUUGAUUCCUACCUUCUGACGAACCACGAUGUCAUUAAUUUGAUGUCGCGGGAAAUCAGGACUGUUACUUUGAAAAAAUUAGAGUGUUUAAAGCAGGCUCGCGCUUGAAUACAUUAGCAUGGAAUAAUGAAAUAGGACGUUUGAUUCUAUUUUGUUGGUUUCUAGGAUCGACGUAAUGAUUAAUAGGGAUAGUUGGGGGCAUUAGUAUUCAAUUGUCAGAGGUGAAAUUCUUGGAUUUAUUGAAGACUAACUACUGCGAAAGCAUUUGCCAAGGAUGUUUUC